rnacentral:lncRNA from 1 species
CUGCUUAUCUUUACCCACGCCUCCAUCAUGUCCUUGCUGGCCAUCGCUGUGGACCGAUACUUGCGGGUCAAGCUUACCGUCAGGCUGCUGUCAGGAAGGACAGUUUAAGGAGCAAUGGGGACUCUUACUCUUACUGUCCUUUAAGGUCUCUGAAACACUUCAAUACAAUUUUGUAACUUCAUUGAUUCAUUUAACUCAAAUACCAAGUAUGGAUGCCCAUGAAGAUAGAGAAGCAGGAGCAGGCACAGGUAGAGGGGAAGUGUCGGGGAGGCAUAGUAUAAUUUAUGAGAAUCUGCACAACAGCCAAACAGAACAGUGCCAAGAACAGCAGGCAAGCUUGCUUUGAGAAUAUCAUUUCUCACCAGGCAGACAAUCCUAGGAGACUUAGAUGAAUCUCAGCUCCCAGGAACUGAAUAAUUCUUAGGCUUACACCUUAUUGGGAACAGAAGGAGUAAACUGAGUUCAAGGGGGACUUAAACUGCUGAAUUCACCUGUGGAUGUUUUUGAGUUAAAAAAAAAAAGAAAAAGAAAAGAUAGGUAACAGUUGUAUAGCUCUCAGUAAGUGGAGCCCUGAGUGGAGCACGUAAGCACUUGACUCUAGGCAACAUCCUCCUUAUCCAUUCAAGAGUUUUCUUCUUUAGAAAAGUCCCCAGAGAAGUUUCCUGGAUUUUUCUCCAAUCGUUGUCUGCUCAUCUUGUCUUCGUAUCCAGUGGAGUUUAGCUGGAAUCACCAUAGGAUAUCAAUGCUGCCCUCUCUUAGCAGAAGAUUGGAGAAUUAAGAGAGUAUAUGCCUUAUCUCACCUCUCUCUCUCUCCUUUACCAGCUCCAUCUCCCCUACCCUUUAGCAAUUACUGCUGUGGACUCACUGACUCUCUUCAUUCACACAGAUACAAGAGGGUCACCACUCACAGAAGAAUAUGGCUGGCCCUGGGCC